rnacentral:rRNA from 1 species
AGAGUUUGAUCAUGGCUCAGGACGAACGCUGGCGGCGUGCCUAAUACAUGCAAGUCGAGCGAGCUUGCCUAGAUGAUUUUGGUGCUUGCACUAAAUGAAACUAGAUACAAGCGAGCGGCGGACGGGUGAGUAACACGUGGGUAACCUGCCCAAGAGACUGGGAUAACACCUGGAAACAGAUGCUAAUACCGGAUAACAACACUAGACGCAUGUCUAGAGUUUGAAAGAUGGUUCUGCUAUCACUCUUGGAUGGACCUGCGGUGCAUUAGCUAGUUGGUAAGGUAACGGCUUACCAAGGCAAUGAUGCAUAGCCGAGUUGAGAGACUGAUCGGCCACAUUGGGACUGAGACACGGCCCAAACUCCUACGGGAGGCAGCAGUAGGGAAUCUUCCACAAUGGACGAAAGUCUGAUGGAGCAAGCCGCGUGAGUGAAGAAGGGUUUCGGCUCGUAAAGCUCUGUUGGUAGUGAAGAAAGAUAGAGGUAGUAACUGGCCUUUAUUUGACGGUAAUUACUUAGAAAGUCACGGCUAACUACGUGCCAGCAGCCGCGGUAAUACGUAGGUGGCAAGCGUUGUCCGGAUUUAUUGGGCGUAAAGCGAGUGCAGGCGGUUCAAUAAGUCUGAUGUGAAAGCCUUCGGCUCAACCGGAGAAUUGCAUCAGAAACUGUUGAACUUGAGUGCAGAAGAGGAGAGUGGAACUCCAUGUGUAGCGGUGGAAUGCGUAGAUAUAUGGAAGAACACCAGUGGCGAAGGCGGCUCUCUGGUCUGCAACUGACGCUGAGGCUCGAAAGCAUGGGUAGCGAACAGGAUUAGAUACCCUGGUAGUCCAUGCCGUAAACGAUGAGUGCUAAGUGUGGGGAGGUUUCCGCCUCUCAGUGCUGCAGCU